UUUAAAGUCUAAUCUGCCCUAUGAGGAGUUAAAUGGCCGCGGUAUUUUGACCGUGCAAAGGUAGCAUAAUAAUUAGUUUUUUAAUUGGGAGCUGGAAUGAAUGAUUGAACGAGAAAAUGGCUGUCUCAGUUUUAUUUAAUUAGAAUUUUAUUUUUAAGUUAAAAAGCUUAAAUUAAAUUGAAAGACGAGAAGACCCUAUAGAGUUUUAUAAUUAUUUUGUUAUUAAUUUUUUAGAAUUAUUUUAUUAAUAGUUUAGUAAUUAUUUUGUUGGGGUGAUAGAAAAAUUUAAUUAACUUUUUUUAGUAUAAAACAUUAAUUUAUGUUUGAAUGAUCCAUUUUUUAUGAUUAUAAGAUUAAGUUACCUUAGGGAUAACAGCGUAAUUUUUUUUAAGAGUUCUUAUCGAAAAAAAAGAUUGCGACCUCGAUGUUGGAUUAAAAUUAAUAUUAGGUGUAGAAGCUUAAUUUUUAGGUCUGUUCGACCUUUGAAAUUUUACA
rnacentral:rRNA from 1 species